UCCAGCUCGUUGGAAACUUUUGUGCAGACACCAGGAUGAUGCUACAGCUGGAGAUAAUCCCUGAGAAAACAGCACCACCAGCAACAACAUUUUGCUCUAGACAAGGAAAAAGGUGGAAGAUGUGGGGCUAAGAGGGAUUUUCUCCUUCAAAAGAAGAAAGGUUGCUUUCCGGGCACCUGUGUGCUGAAAUGGACUGAGAUGCAGUGUGAAUUGAAGAAAUAUUUGGAAACAGAGGUGAUUGUUAAGUUUCUGAGCUUGGGUGUUCAUGGAGUGUUUCUGGCCAACACCUAAAAUUCAGUUUCCAAGGCUGGAGGCAGCAAAAGGCAAGUUUUGUAAAGACAAAAUGAGACCAAUGAAAAGAAAUUUCCUCCCAGCACAUUGGGAACCCUUCUCAACAAUAAAAACCACCAAAGUAACCCUGAUGUUUGUGGAUUUUGUAGCUCUGUGUUCAGUCCAAAUACAAGGCAACAUUUCCCCUGGAUUUAUGGAGUUUAACACUGCAGGGAGUUUGGGAUCUUCACAAACUAUAACCGUAUUUUACUGGUGCCAAAUCUUUUGUGAUCCAGGCUAGUUUGUGAUGGGAAUGGGCUCAAGGUAAGGUCAUGAGGAAUUAUAUUGGUUUAUAUUGUUUCUUUCUUUCCUCUGUGUGGAAUUCUCAAAAGCCGGUUGCUGACUGGGUUGGUAAAUCCCAUCCUGCAUAAAUAUAUUGAUAAAUACCAAAAAUUACUCCUUUUUCAUCUUUGUUUGCAUUGAAGAGGUUUCUUGUUUCAGUGACUUUUUCCUUAGAAUAUCUUUUUGCAAGUCCUAUGAAAAGCCAGGGAACAUAUCCUUAGUCCUGUCCCAUGUCCAUGUUUUAAGAUCAAUGUCACAAACAUCUUUCAAACAUUGCCUUUUUUCUCUUUUUGACCUUAAAUGUUAAUGUACUCUUUCUUCUUUAUUUUUUUCAGAAGUUCUUUUAUUAUUUGAAAUGAACAUGCAGCAAAUAUAAGUUUUCUCUAAAUUAAGUGGAAACUCCAUUUUCUGCAUAUAUUUUCUCAUGUAAUUAGCCAUCAGGUUGGUAAAGAGAAUCUGAUUUUCAGCAGAGAAACAGAGGUUUCUUUAUUUUUGCUUUAUCUAUAGGGGUUUUCCAUAUUUUAUAAAAGCUGUAGGCACAGGUAAAGAUAAGGAAAGAGGA